rnacentral:rRNA from 1 species
AUUGAACGCUGGCGGCGUGCCUAACACAUGCAAGUCGAGCGGUAACAGGUGUAGCAAUACAUGCUGACGAGCGGCGGACGGGUGAGUAACGCUUGGGAAUCUGCCUAUUAGUGGGGGACAACCCGGGGAAACUCGGGCUAAUACCGCAUACGCUCUACGGAGGAAAGCCGGGGACCGCAAGGCCUGGCGCUAAUAGAUGAGCCCAAGUCGGAUUAGCUAGUUGGUAGGGUAAUGGCCUACCAAGGCGACGAUCCGUAACUGGUCUGAGAGGACGACCAGUCACACCGGAACUGAGACACGGUCCGGACUCCUACGGGAGGCAGCAGUGGGGAAUAUUGGACAAUGGCGAAAGCCUGAUCCAGCGACGCCGCGUGGGUGAAGAAGGCCUGCGGGUUGUAAAGCCCUUUCAGUGGGGAAGAAAGACCUCGACCUAACACGUCGGGGUCUUGACGUAACCCAUAGAAGAAGCACGGCUAACUCUGUGCCAGCAGCCGCCGCAGUAAC